UNAUGGACGCAAGUCUGAACCAGCCAUGCCGCGUGCAGGAUGAAGGUGCUAUGCAUUGUAAACUGCUUUUGUACGAGGGUAAAUGCAGGUACGUGUACCUGUUUGAAAGUAUCGUACGAAUAAGGGUCGGCUAACUCCGUGCCAGCAGCCGCGGUAAUACGGAGGACCCGAGCGUUAUCCGGAUUUAUUGGGUUUAAAGGGUGCGUAGGCGGAUUAGUAAGUUAGAGGUGAAAGCUCGAUGCUCAACAUCGAGAUUGCCUCUGAUACUGUUAGUCUAGAGUAUAGUUGCGGAAGGCGGAAUGUGUGGUGUAGCGGUGAAAUGCUUAGAUAUCACACAGAACACCGAUUGCGAAGGCAGCUUUCCAAGCUAUUACUGACGCUGAUGCACGAAAGCGUGGGGAGCGAACAGGAUUAGAUACCCUGGUAGUCCAAGGGCGAAUUC
rnacentral:rRNA from 1 species